rnacentral:tRNA from 1 species
GCCCCGGUAGCUCAGUAGGAUAGAGCAGCGGUUUCCUAAACCGCAGGUCACAGGUUCGAGUCCUGUCCGGGGCGCCA